rnacentral:rRNA from 1 species
AGGACGAACGCUGGCGGCGUGCUUAACACAUGCAAGUCGAGCGGUAAGGCCUUUCGGGGUACACGAGCGGCGAACGGGUGAGUAACACGUGGGUGAUCUGCCCUGCACUCUGGGAUAAGCCUGGGAAACUGGGUCUAAUACCGGAUAUGACCUGCUCUCGCAUGGGGGUGGGUGGAAAGAUUUAUCGGUGCAGGAUGGGCCCGCGGCCUAUCAGCUUGUUGGUGGGUAAUGGCCUACCAAGGCGACGACGGGUAGCCGACCUGAGAGGGUGACCGGCCACACUGGGACUGAGACACGGCCCAGACUCCUACGGGAGGCAGCAGUGGGGAAUAUUGCACAAUGGGCGAAAGCCUGAUGCAGCGACGCCGCGUGAGGAUGAAGGCCUUCGGGUCGUAAACCUCUUUCAGCGAGGACGAAGCGCGAAGUGACGUACCUGCAGAAGAAGCACCGCUAACUACGUGCCAGCAGCCGACGGUAAUCGUGAGCGGCUGGACCG